rnacentral:rRNA from 1 species
AAAAACCUCAGGUUUUUGGAGGAAGGUUCGUCCGCUCCAAGUUAGGCGGGAGCUAAGGUCAGGCCGAAAGGCGUAGCCGAUGCACAGACGGUAGAGAUUCCGUCCCCACCGAAAGAUUUAAGCACAGGGACACUUUUUGAAGGUCGGAGCCAGGUGUUGGUUCUGGUAGUGAUCGAGGGAAAUAUAGUACCGAAGUCCGGCUGGAAGAGAGGCGAGAAAAGCUGUGUGUAUAUCUAAGGUGCCCGUACCGCAAACCGACACAGGUAGGUAGGAAGAAGAUUCUAAGGCCAACGGGAGAAGGGUUGUUAAGGAACUCGGCAAGUUGACCCCGUAACUUCGGAAUAAGGGGUGCUCACGAGAGUGAGCCGCAGAGAAUAGGCCCAGGCAACUGUUUACCAAAAACACAGGUUUGUGCUAAAUCGAAAGAUGACGUAUACGAGCUGACGCCUGCCCGGUGCUGGAAGGUUAAAAGGAGAUGUGCAAGCAUUGAAUUGAAGCCCCAGUGAACGGCGGCCGUAACGAUAACGGUCCUAAGGUAGCGAAAUUCCUUGUCAGGUAAGUUCUGACCCGCAUGAAAGGCGUAAUGAUCUGGGCACUGUCUCAACAGCCCGCCCGGCGAAAUUGUAGUACCGGUGAAGAUGCCGGUUACCCGCGACAAGACGGAAAGACCCCAUGGAGCUUUACUGUAGCCUGAUAUUGGGUUUCGGUGUUGCAUGCACAGGAUAGAUGGGACACUGGGAAGCGGAUGCUUUGGCGUUCGCGGAGUGGACGUUGGGAUACCAUCCUUGCGACAUUGGAAUUCUAACCUGCGCCUCUGAAUCGAGGCGGGGGACAUUGUCAGGUGGGCAGUUUGACUGGGGCGGUCGCCUCCUAAAAAGUAGCGGAGGCGUUCAAAGGUUCGUUCGAUCUGGACGGAAACCAGAUGAUUGAGUGCAAACGCAUAAACGAGCCUGACUGCGAGACUGACGGGUCGAGCAGAGACGAAAGUCGGAGUUAGUGAUCCGGUGGUAUGUGAGUGGAAAUGCCAUCGCUCAACGGAUAAAAGUUACCCUGGGAUAACAGGCUGAUCUCCCCCAAGAGUCCACAUCGACGGGGAGGUUUGGCACCUCGAUGUCGGCUCAUCGCAUCCUGGGGCUGAAUUCGGUCCCAAGGGUUUGGCUGUUCGCCAAUUAAAGCGGUACGCGAGCUGGGUUCAGAACGUCGUGAGACAGUUCGGUCCCUAUCUGUCGUGGGCGCAGGAUAUUUGAAAGGCGCUGUCCCUAGUACGAGAGGACCGGGAUGGACGAACCUCUGGUGCACCAGUUGUCACGCCAGUGGCACAGCUGGGCAGCUAUGUUCGGAUCGGAUAAACGCUGAAAGCAUCUAAGCGUGAAGCCGGCCUUAAGAUAAGAUAUCCCACUGAGUCAAUCAGGUAAGACCCCUUGAAGACUACAAGGUUGAUAGGCACACAGUGUAAGCGGAGUGAUCCGUUCAGCUAGCGUGUACUAAUAGGUCGAGGGCUUGAUC